CGGCGAGUGAAGCGGGAAGAGCUCAAAUUUGUAAUCUGGCACUUUCAGUGUCCGAGUUGUAAUCUCGAGAAGUAUUUUCCGCGCCGGACUGCAUACAAGUCUGUUGGAAUACAGCGUCAUAGUGGUGAGAACCCCGUAACUGAUGCAGAUGCCCGGUGCUUUGUGAUAUACUUUCGAAGAGUCGAGUUGUUUGGGAAUGCAGCUCAAAUUGGGUGGUAAAUUCCAUCUAAAGCUAAAUAUUGGAGCAAGACCGAUAGCGAACAAGUACCGUGAGGGAAAGAUGAAAAGCACUUUGGAAAGAGAGUUAACAGUACGUGAAAUUGUUGGAAGGGAAACGCUUGAAGUCAGACUUGCUAUUCGGAGUUCAGCCGCAAGGUGUAUUCUUCGAUUUGCAGGCCAGCAUCAGUUUUCGGGGGUGGAAAAUCGUGGUUUGAAGGUAGCAACUUCGGUUGUGUUAUAGCUUUCCACUGGAUUCAUCUUUGGGGACUGAGGAACGCAGUACGCUUUUUGCAAGGCCCUCGGGCUUUUCGUACUUAGGAUGCUGGUGGAAUGGCUUUAAACGACCCGUCUUGAA
rnacentral:rRNA from 1 species